CGGACGGGUGAGUAACGCGUGGGUAACCUGCCUCAUACAGGGGGAUAACAGUUAGAAAUGACUGCUAAUACCGCAUAAGCGCACAGAAUCGCAUGAUUCGGUGUGAAAAACUCCGGUGGUAUGAGAUGGACCCGCGUCUGAUUAGCUAGUUGGUGGGGUAAAGGCCUACCAAGGCGACGAUCAGUAGCCGACCUGAGAGGGUGAUCGGCCACAUUGGGACUGAGACACGGCCAAACUCCUACGGAAGGCAGCAG
rnacentral:rRNA from 1 species